rnacentral:rRNA from 1 species
AUACGUAGGGGGCAAGCGUUAUCCGGAUUUACUGGGUGUAAAGGGAUCGUAGACGGAAGGCGAAGUCUGAUGUGAAACCCCGCGGAUCAACUGCGGGACUGCAUUGGGAACUGGUCAUCUGGAGUGCAGGAGGGGUAAGCAGAAUUACUAGUGUAGCGGUGAAAUGCGUAGAUAUUAGGAGGAACACCGGUGGCGAAGGCGGCUUACUGGACUGUAACUGACGUUGAGGCUCGAAAGCGUGGGGGGCAAGCAGUAUUAGAUACACUGGUGGUCCACGCCGUAAACGAUGAAUACUAGGUGUCGGGUUUCUAUAGAGAUUCGGUGCCGCAGCAAACGCAAUAAGUAUUCCACCUGGGGAGUACGGUCGCAAGAAGGAAACUCAAAGGAAUUGACGGGG